rnacentral:rRNA from 1 species
UACGUAGGGUGCAAGCGUUGUCCGGAAUUAUUGGGCGUAAAGAGCUCGUAGGCGGUUUGUCGCGUCUGCUGUGAAAACCCGAGGCUCAACCUCGGGCCUGCAGUGGGUACGGGCAGACUAGAGUGCGGUAGGGGUGACUGGAAUUCCUGGUGUAGCGGUGGAAUGCGCAGAUAUCAGGAGGAACACCGAUGGCGAAGGCAGGUCACUGGGCCGCAACUGACGC